UACGAAGGGGGCUAGCGUUGCUCGGAAUCACUGGGCGUAAAGGGUGCGUAGGCGGGUCUUUAAGUCAGGGGUGAAAUCCUGGAGCUCAACUCCAGAACUGCCUUUGAUACUGAGGAUCUUGAGUUCGGGAGAGGUGAGUGGAACUGCGAGUGUAGAGGUGAAAUUCGUAGAUAUUCGCAAGAACACCCAGUGGCGAAGGCGGCUCACUGGCCCGAUACUGACGCUGAGGCACGAAAGCGUGGGGAGCGAACAGG
rnacentral:rRNA from 1 species